rnacentral:rRNA from 2 species
UUAGAGGAAGUAAAAGUCAUAACAAGGUUUCUGUAGGUGAACCUGCAGAAGGAUCAUUA